rnacentral:lncRNA from 1 species
UUUAUAUAAGCCAGCAGCUUCUCUACCAAGAUCCAGAGGCCUCCUCAGAGAAGGGUCCUGUAUCAUGUGUAGUAAGCAUGAAUGUUCAGUGAACAAAACUAUACAAUGCAACUGCUUCACUAACUGUGGACAGAAAUCAAAUUGUGUUUAAAAGAAGGAACUAGCAGUACAUUGUGAAGAGUAAUGGAAGGAGUCAGUGCAAAAGAGCCUGUGCAUGUUACUUUCACUUUAUAGCCAUUAGGAAGAGUGACAAGAUAUGGCAGAGUUAAGGGUGUGAUGUUAAAAAGUAACUGUUUAUCAUGUGUCAUGUGAUUAGAGGCACCUGAAUCUAUAAUCCAGGUGACAGAGUUAAUAUUAGUAAGUAAGCAAAUUUAUCAUGUGUCAUGUGAUUAGAGGCACCUGAAUCUAUAAUCCAGGUGACAGAAUUAAUAUUGGUAAGUAAGCAGAGUUUGGAAUCAGAAAUAGAGCUCUCAGUUAACAUAGUACUAGCAAAGUUAGCAGCAUACAUAAGAGGAGGAGUCUAAGCAGUGGAGUCCCCUAACUGGGUCUGUUGUAAUAAAUUCAUCAACUGAUCAUACUGUUUUCUGCUCAACCCUGGUAUCACAGAACUCUGGCCAUCUAUUUUUAGAACAGAUUGAUGGCUUUCAAGAGGAUUCCCUUGGGGAACAGACAUAUGUCCUUCCGAAUGAGGGAAGUCCAGACCAGCACUAAGAUGAGCAGCAGCAGGUCUCCUCCCCUUGUUAAAAUUUGUACUUUGUNN